CCCUGAAUCCAGCUACUCGGGGAAUGUGGAACGUCAUAGGACAGAAGGCACCAGGCCUAACAAUGGGCUUCCAAUGACGGCAAGCCACCCAAAGGCUGUAAAACGAAGGUGUUUCUCUUUCCUUGGCCUGAAAUGCUGAUUGCAUGGCGGUUCCAGCACACACCGUCCCUCACCGAGGCAAACAUCUCGCUCUGGAAAUGCUGCCAGCCUCCAGUGGCCUGCUUGAGCUGAAGACCUCCUAGUUAGUGGCCCUGGAUCAUGUGGCUUUGCGACCUCUGCUUCUGUCUGUGUUCUCAUGCUGG